rnacentral:lncRNA from 1 species
ACGAGUGCGAAGGAUGGCCGUUGUUCAAAAGGCGAUUGUUACUUGUCUUGCGGUGAAGAUAGUGAGGACUGAAGCACCAAGCAUCAAGGUAGCAAGGCUUCAUACAUAGAACAGGCUGACAUGAAAAACAGGAAAGUUUGUAAGCCAAGACGUUGAUAUGGUAGGCCAUAUUCCUGUGUUUCAUGCUAAAGAUAACAGAACGGAGAGGAUGGUAACGGAGAAAUAAGUAGAAAGAAGAGGCUGCAAGAACACACAUACCACUUUCGCAUGCUCAUUGGAAACUUUGACUGAGCUAGGACUGUAAUAUGUUUGAUGAAUUGGACCCUUCAACAGUCGGCUCACUCCUACAUUUAUCAAAUUCUCAUUAAAAGGAUUACCUGGGAAGCAUGUAUCUAUAUUUAUAUGAACAUGAAUAGAAACUAUACAAGAUAGAAUGAAGAAACAGAGGUUUCAUAGAUUUAAGCACAAUAGGAUAUAAAUUUGUUUGAUGAUGGAUUUAUAGUGUGAAAUGAACUAUAGUUUAUAUGAGAAUUAAUGGCUUUGGUAAGUAG